UGGGGGAUCGUCUAACGGUAAGACGCCAGACUCUGACUCUGGUUAUCGGGGUUCGAAUCCCUGUCCCCCAGCCA
rnacentral:tRNA from 2 species